UACGUAGGGUGCAAGCGUUAAUCGGAAUUACUGGGCGUAAAGCGUGCGUAGGCGGUUCGGUAAGACAGAUGUGAAAUCCCAGGGCUUAACCUUGGAACUGCAUUUUUAACUGCCGGGCUAGAGUAUGUCAGAGGGGGGUAGAAUUCCACGUGUAGCAGUGAAAUGCGUAGAGAUGUGGAGGAAUACCGAUGGCGAAGGCAGCCCCCUGGGAUAAUACUGACGCUCAUGCACGAAAGCGUGGGGAGCAAACAGG
rnacentral:rRNA from 1 species